rnacentral:tRNA from 1 species
GUGGAUGUGGCUCAGUGGUAGAGCACUUGCCUUUGCACAUGUGAGGUACUGGGUUCAAACCUCAGCACCACA